ensembl:lncRNA
GCAAGAGCAUGCCUGCUGGAGUGUGUAACGGGCUCCCUGACUCCCUGAGUAGCUGCAGAGGUCACAGGGAAACCUGGAGCCUAUCCCAGGAGGCAUCGUGCACAAGACGGGGUGCACCCUGGACAGGUGCCAAUCCAUCGAAGGGCACAUAAUCACACACACACACUCACACAAACAUUCAUACCCAUUCUACGGACACUUUAGACAUGCCAAUCAGCCUACCAUGCAUGUCUUUGAACUGGGGGAGGAAACCGGAGUACCCGGAGGAAUCCCCUGCAGCACGGGGAGAACAUGCAAACUCCGCACACACAGAGCCGCGGGAAUCAAAUCCCCAACCCUGGCGGUGUGAAGCGAACGUGCUAACCACUAAGCCACCGAAUAUAUCCA